CGGCACGCUGAAGGCUUACAGCCCCCCGGGAAGGCAUGCUCCGUGUUGGCACCCCGGCAGCAAGCCGACCCACUGCAGUGUCCCGCACAGAAUGCACAGCUGUCUUCUAGCAAACAACACAAAGCGAACUGGCAACUUCAGUCUAAAAUGACUGCCCUUAGAGAAACUGCAGAAAAAGCACAGAUAACGACAAUAGGAAAUGAAAUAACACAGGGAAAGAACAAAUUGGAAGUAGGAAAAAAAGAACAAGAGGCUACUGGAACAUUUGGCUGCAUGGGCAUAUGAACAGUAUAUCCAGCAGCAGGUACAACAGGUCUUGGCAGAGGUGACUGACAGCAGGAAUAAACUGUCCUGUGACAAAGGAGAACUUCA